GGUCUAUGAUGACAAAUUCAAGGCUUGUUUCUCAAAACAUUCGCAGUGGCCGCCUAAGAGCUUUCGCCUUAGCCAGGCUUGAGAGCUAGUGCUGCUUUAUUCCUUCCUGAGAGCUAGUGCUGCUUUAUUCCUUCCUUGGAUGUCUGAUACU